AAAGUGCGAUAACUAAUGUGAAUUGCAUAACUUUGUGAAUCAUCGAGUCUUUGAACGCAUCUUGCGCUCUUUGGUCCUCCAAAGAGCAUGCCUGUUUGAGUAUCAAAAACACUUAUCCUACACACACUUGCGUGUUGUUGUUAGGGAUUUGAGACUGCAGCCUCGCCGGUCGCGUCUUAAAAUAUAGGUGCUUCUGUUACUGGGUCAGGCUAAGCUUUCCCCGGUGUGGUGGUAGAGCCUUGGCUCUCUUAUUCAACACUUACGGGAGCUUGGCACCUAGCUUUAGUUAACAUUCAAGGAAGCGACCACCAGUUAAAGCCUAGCCAGUCGGCUUGCGCUUUGAACUUGAUCUCAAAUCAGGCAAGACUACCCGCUGAACUUAA
rnacentral:misc_RNA from 1 species